rnacentral:rRNA from 1 species
UACAGAGGUCUCAAGCGUUUGUUCGGAUUCAUUGGGCGUAAAGGGUGUGUAGGUGGCGCCGUAAGUCGGGUGUGAAAUUUCGGAGCUUAACUCCGAAACUGCAUUCGAUACUGCCGUGCUUGAGGACUGGAGAGGAGACUGGAAUUUACGGUGUAGCGGUGAAAUGCGUAGAUAUCGUAAGGAAGACCAGUGGCGAAGGCGGGUCUCUGGACAGUUCCUGACGCUGAGGCACGAAGGCCAGGGGAGCAAACGGG